UCGAGCGUUUCUCAGCUAUGAAAGAGACGCGGCAGACGGCUCAGUAACAUGUGGCUAACCUGCCCUUAGGACAUAGAUAACCCCGGGAAACUGGGGCUAAUAUUUGAUAAGCGUGGAUUCCUGGAAUGGAUCCACACUCAAAGGGCGUCUAGAUCAUGCUUUAGGCGUCGCCUAAGGAUGGGGCCGCAGCCGAUCAGGUUGUUGGUGGGGUAACGGCUCACCAAGCCUAUAACCGGUACGGGCCGCGAGAGCGGUAGCCUGGAGAUGGACACUGAGACAAGGGUCCAGGCCCUACGGGGCGCAGCAGUCGCGAAAACUCCGCAAUACACGAAAGUGUGACGGGGCUAUCCCGAGUGCCGUCCGCUGAGGAUGGCUUUUCUCCAGUGUAAGGAGCUGGAGGAAUAAGGAGAGGGCAAGUCUGGUGUCAGCCGCCGCGGUAAUACCAGCUCUCCGAGUGGUAGGGAUGUUUAUUGGGCCUAAAGCGUCCGUAGCCGGUUCAGCAAGUCCUCCGUUAAAUCCAGCGAUUCAAUCGUUGGACUGCGGGAGAUACUGCUGGACUAGGGGACGGGAGAGGCCGACGGUAUUCCCGGAGUAGGGGUGAAAUCCUAUAAUUCCGGGAGGACCACCAGUGGCGAAGGCUGUCGGCUAGAACGAGCUCGACGGUGAGGGACGAAAGCUGGGGGAGCAAACCGGAUUAGAUACCCGGGUAGUCCCAGCUGUAAACGAUGCG
rnacentral:rRNA from 1 species